ensembl:lncRNA
GUCAAAUAUGAUUUUUCUUUCAGGUUUAUUUUACAUUUUCAUGUCAUAUUUUUAUUGCCAAACAUAUAUGGUUAUCUACAGCUUGGUUGUUACAAGUUUUACUGUACCUGGAGAAAUGCCAAACUCUGGGCAAGUUUCCCAUGUAGAAUUUAGUAACCAUGAGAACCCUGAGGAACAUUGAGCGAAUACGCAAAUCUUUAUUUUAUUAAGUAAGAUAAUACCAAAUUAAAUGUUCUUCUAAAUACUUUAUUUACAUGAACAUAAUAUUACAUCCAUAUAGAUAUAAAAUAAUUGAGAGAGAGAGAGAGAGAGAGAGAGAGAGAGAGAGAGAGAGAGAGAGAGAGAGAGAGAGAGAGAGAGAGAGAGAAGAUUUGAAUGCACCUUUAAGCAUUUAAAUUACUUCUGGCAUCACAAAUAUCCCAAAAUGCUGUAUAGCUUUCUUUUAGACAUCCUGGGCCGCUGCUCAAGGAAGAAACUCUGACACAAGCUUGGCACAUGGAAAAUCACUGGCAACUUAAUCAAUCUUCCAGUGCAAAGUUCCUUUAUAGUUAUUGUCUUUAUCACCAUAAACACCAUAUCUCAACCCAUCUGUCAUUUCAACCAUUGUGUCCAUGUUCUGGUCAUAUACACACACAAACACAGUGUAUACACAUAGUGUAGACCUAAGAGCUCAAACUUCUGUGCAAGAAGGAGAGAGGGAAAAAAGAAGGUAAUGCCAUUCAAUGGACGGCAUUACCAGACAGUAUUAGACAGGGAUGAAUAGAUCUAACCAUGUCUGGUAAGACGCCAAUCAACAGGCCAUGGAGCUAGGACUGAAGGACUCUCUGAACCAACCGUCCCCUGUACGCAAAGGGAGCCAGCUGGAAAAAGGCAGGAUGAGAUGCAAGAAGAGACAGGCUGAAAAAUAUACAGUAUGUCAGUCUGUCUGUCCGUCCGUCUGUCUCACACACAGACAUGGAUACUAGUUUGUCUUUUUCGUAUUCUCAAAGACUAUGUUAUUUGGAGUUAAUUUACAAUGAAGACAAAAGACAUAUUGAUGAUUGACUGGUCACGUCAAAGAUAUAGAAAAACAGCUUAAGUGGGAAAAUGUGGUGCCUUUUCACCACAAAUGAAAUCCUCAUGCCACUUUAAGGUUCAGUGCAACAUCUAAAUGGUCUUUUUAACCGUGUGAAAAGGAGAGGGGAUAAAAAAGGGAAAGAAAAAAUAUGACAAACAUUGAACCAUUCCGUGUGUCUAUGUCAUAGAUAAAGGCAAACGACAUGAGGUGAGCCAAUAAAGGUGUGGUUCAAUAUUUGUGGGGUAAUUCUCCCUCCUUAAACAAACAUUCAGACUGUGCCGGCUCCUUGUUUAUUAUUUUCCUAUGUCUGUGCUGCCUGUUUGAGAGCUUUACCUACUUAAUUGGGAUUUAUUUUUCUUCAUGGAAGACCAUGACAAAUGGGAGACAUGGAACGAGAUGGAAGUUUUCCUUAAGGGAUCAAUUCGUUCAAGUCUAUGGCUGUUUAUCAGUUGCUUAUGACAAAAAGGAAACACAAUAAAAACAUUCUAAUUGUAACCAAAAAGAUGCAAGGCAAAACACUUUUGUUCUCCAAUAAAGCCUAGUAAAAUGACAAAAGACACUACAGAUAGAGUUAUGGGAUAUACUUAGCUGUGAUUAAAAAAAGAGCAAUCAUUCAUAUGAAGGGAGAGAGAGAGAGGGGAGGCUGGGGGGAGUCAAGGAGGAUGUUGUUGAGUUUCUUUCUUUCGUAAGUGCUCAGGUGAGCUCGUGUCAGUUUCAGGAUGUAACACGCAGGUAAGGCGAGCUGAACCAAUCACAGUGACACAACACAAAGCCAUACGCUGCAGGGGGGAGGGGACACGGAAAUGAGUAGUACGACCGGUGGAACCAUCAACCGACUGGUAUUCUUUAACUCAGGCUGGGUGGGGCCACUAUAAAACAGGACAGGGAAGUGGAUAAUACAAAGACUGGGUGAGCUAGCGCCCCUAACUGUCUCCUCUACUUGUCCUCUCGGUUCUCGCAAUCUGUUCGUGCCACUAAUCUACUCCACUUGCUUAAAUUGAUUCCUAACUGAGUAACACUAAGAUAUUUCAACUACUUUGAUUGACAAAGCACCCCAGUCAUAUCUGCCAUAAAUUUUUCCAAUAUGAUUCUCAAAAUAAGCACUUCAUAUGCCUAUCUUUUUGACAAAUAAAUGAUGAUGUUGAAACGGAUCAUUUUUCAGAUGUGUAGUUUUAGCUAGUGUAAUAAAGAUGUGCCAAACGGAAGAUUUAGGACAAUCUCCAUGGACAAUCGCCCAUGUAGAAUCAAGUCAACACAAAAGAGGGGAAACACAAUAACAUUCUCUUCCCAGUUUCCUGGUAUAGCCAGCCCACCUCUGCAUGCUAGCAAAAUUCUAACCAAAAUUACAGAUGCGACGCUCAACCAAGUCUUCUUAUCGGUGACGUUAUCGGACAUCAAAUCCUUGAAGAAAGAUGGAGUGUUCAAACUGUGUAUUCAAACUGGAGUCAAGUGUUACCAUUACCACAGUACAGUUACCACAGAUAAUCUGAUCAGGUAUUGCCUAUGGUAGGUUUUCAUUCAAGGGGUCACACCUGACCCUCUAAGUCUGCCCAUAGCUGACGAGUAUCUCUGGAGGUAUGUGAGUCACCCAGGAAACAUCGUUACCAGACAGUGUUAGAACACAGUUGUACAAUCCAGCACUGUCAGGUAAGAUGGAUCCUGAAAGCCAUUUCAGUGGGAACCAAGCCAUUUAAUUUGAAACAAAACAGCCUCCAAGUUGAGGUAAAGUGUGUUAAUGUAGCUAGCUAAUAUCGUAAGUUGUGUGGCGUCUCACUGUAGUUAGCAGAUGGCUAUCAUCAUCAUUACCAGGCAGUAUUAGAGAGAGUGAUUAUAUCCAAUGCUGCCUCGUAAGAUGGGGAUGACCAUCCAAACAUGAAUAGGAGACAAACAAUGGGUCAUAAAAGUUAUUAUUUUACAGAUCGCAUUAAUAAUAUUUUCCUCUGAGCAUUUUCCAAUACAUGUUUCUCUUGUAUAUAUUAGUGUUGUGAUAUCUCCUGAUUUUGACUCACAAAACUUGAUAAAGGCUAACCAUCCUUUGGUAGGUUUGUGUGUGGAUAAGCCCCGCCUAUGGGUAUAAUGGUGGCUUCAGGGACAUUCCACUCUGAAAAGAGAGGGGUGUUCUAAACUGUUGACAACCCUAACUGUGGAUGCAAAUGAUCAUUAGAAGGCCAGUCUAUCACAUCUCUGAAAC